AGAGUCCCUUUCCCAUUCCGCUGCAGCCAUGAGGAGAAUACUCGUAAGAAUCAGACUUUACUUCUUUUUCACCUAUGGAACUUCAUCAUGACCCACUUUAACAGGCAGGAGUCUUACAAUAUUUUCAAGGAAUUUGACAAGGGAAGAGGACCAGUGCUGACCAAGUGAAGAAAAAGAAGAGUCUAUUGCCAAGCUUUGUACAGCAGCCAAUAUCUGAUUAAGGAGUGGGCAGGCGGUUAUGCUGGCAUUGAUCCUGUUUCCAAAAGCAGAUCAACAUGAUUCCUCAAGACUCCAAAGAGAUCAACUAUGGGACCUGAAAAUAAAGGCAGACUGCCAUCAAUUUCAUGUUUCUUUGAUAGCAGACAAAUAUGCUUCAGCAAUAGUGCAGAGAGUAAUUUAAGGUUUGGACUGCAAGUGAUGGACACACUAAAUAACUCAUCUCAAAGAAUUCAAUGGAUAGUGCUGAGUACAUUAUUAUAUAUCUACAAAGUGAUGGGCACACUAAAUAGCUUAACUGACAGAAUUCAAUGGACCGUGCUGAGAACAUUGUUAUAUAUCUACAAAGUGAUGGACACACUAAAUAGCUUAACUGACAGAAUUCAAUGGACCGUGCAGAGUACAUUGUUAUCUACAAAGUGAUGGACACACUAAAUAGCUUAACUCACAGAAUCCAAUGGACAGAGUUGAGUAUGUACUAAUAUCUACAAAGUGAUGAACACAGUAAACAGCUUAAUUCUCAGGAUUCAGUGUACCAUGCUGAGUACAUAACUCAUUAAGGAUAACUCAUGAUCAUAUGACAUCCACAGCAGAUCACUCAAAUUAAGUUGUGAUACUACAUUAUUGUACAACUUUUAAUAUACUACGUUAUUUUUUCUGAAUGUUUUUUUUGGUAUCUGUAUAUUAUAUUUUUUAAUUUAAAAAAAAUUAAAGAUUGGAUUUUGAAGCAAAAAUAUCAAGAGAGGUAAAUCAGUGCUUGUCUGAAUAUCUAAGCUUAAGAGAAAGGGAGGUAAUUUUUUUUAUUGUGAAUCCUUGUCCAGAGCAUAUGCUUUCUCCCCUUGGUCCAAUGUGGCUAAUACUUCUCUCACAGAGUGCCACUGGUCAAUGGAUGUGUAGUGACCUUGAACAAAGUUUCUAGGCCAAGAGUCAAGGUUAAAACCCCUUUCAGCUACUUUACAUUUUUAUGUUCAUUGCUGAAAGUGGGACCCUUUGAGAUGGCCACCAUCUCAAUGAUAUCUAAUUUUAGUUUGAAAAUUGCUAGAAAAGAUAAAGUGAUCUCAUUGUAACAUUAUUAUUUUUUAGUGUUUUAGAUUAUAAAUAAAUAUAACAAUAUGCAAAAUCUAAAUUCUUUUAUAUUUUCUCUCCUUUGACUUAUAUAGCAGGCCUUGCAGUUUUUAGCUCAUAUGAGAUUUUCUGAUCACCUGUUGUCCAUCGUCCAUCCGUCUGACUGUCCAUUCAUCUGUAAACUUUUCACAUUUUCAGCUUAUUCUUGAGAACCAUUGGGCCAAUUUUGACCAAACUUAAUACAAAACAUCCUUGGGUAGUGGGAGUUUAAAUUAUAAAAAUAAAGUCCCCUUCCGAGGGGAAAUUGUCAAGAAUAUACAAAAAUAGGGUGGGGUCAUAAAAAAAUCUUCUCAAGAACCACUGGGCCAGAAAAGCUAAACUUCUGUGGAAGCAUCCUGGGGUAGUGUUACUAGUGUAGAUUCUAAAUUGCUUGAAUCAUGACCCCUGGGGAUUGGGAAAGGUCAAGAUAGGUAUUAGGGGGAAAUCUCUUUAAUAAUAUAAUGGCCAAAGUUACUCAGGUGAGUGAUGUGGCCCAUGGGCUUCUUGCUUAUCUAAUUUAGUUUUAUCUUUGUAUGCAACACUUUUUCCUUCUUUUAGUUGUUACUGAGGUUCUAAGUAAUUUAAGUUUUUUAUGAAAUAUUUUUCCUUGUCAAGUCCUAUAAGCAUGUUCUACUUCAUACACAAGUAGUAUAUGAAGAUUUUCUAGAUGUUUCAUAUUUUUUCAAUUUUUCUUGAAAAGCAUAACUGAUGUACAUGUAAUUGUAAAAACUGUGUUUGUCCCUUGUGAUACAUGAUUAAUUUAUGUCAGUUUGAAUUUAUCAUAUAUAUUAAAAUACACUAUUAUACAG